CCAUUGGCAGAGCAACGAAGUACGCCUUGAAUAUUGAUGAGACCUAAAAUGCCUCCAAGGACACCACCACCACCACCACCACCAAGAAGCCCCCCAAGGCCACCAUUACCAAGAAGGCCCCCUAGGCCACCACCACCAAGAAGGCCCCCUAGGCCACCACCACCAAGAAGGCCCCCUAGGCCACCACCACCACCACCACCACCACCAAGAAGGCCACCCAGACCACCAAGCUGAGCCUUAGCCAUUGGAGA
rnacentral:lncRNA from 1 species